UGGGUCGGCUGGACGGUCGCGUCGCGCACGGUACUCCGUGUCGCGCCGAGGAACGUCCGGGCUCCGCAGGGCAGGGCGGUGGGUAACACCCACCCGGAGUGAUCCGCGAGACAGUGCCACAGAGAGCAGACCGCCGGGGCUUCGGUCCCGGUAAGGGUGAAAGGGUGGUGUAAGAGACCACCGGGGUCGCGGUGACGCGACCCGCAAGGUAAACCUCGCCCGGAGCAAGGCCAGACAGGGGAUGUUGACGCGGCUCGCCGAGUCCCCGGGUAGGCCGCUUGAGCGGCACGGCAACGUGUCGCCGAGAGAGAUGACCGUCCACGGGGCUUCGGCCCCCGGACAGAACCCGGCGUACAGGCCGGCCCAUUCG
rfam:Microbacterium sp. Root166 contig_2, whole genome shotgun sequence.